AUGGCAAGCAGGGCUGGGCAAAACAUACCUUCUGAAACUUUUUACCGGGCAGAAAAGUCAUUUUUUGACAAGAUUAAGACUUCCCCCCACCCCCCCAUUUGUGUUACUUUCUUUUUUUCCAUCAUAUGCUGUAUUCAGCAAACCAUAUUUUCAGCAAAGUGGUUUCCAAAGAAGUUCCUUGUAACGUUUGCUUUUUGUGGGCUUCAUUCUUCCAGUUCCCUUGAACUCCAAUUCAUGGGGCUGAGGGUCAAGGGACACCAGAGUCUUCAGCUCUUCUUCAGGAGACAAAAGACCCCCAAGGAAAAGCAGCCUGUGUGCAACCCUUCUGCUACGCUCCCAGUCCACCCUGUACAUCAGCGGGCCACCGGCACACACGAGCGACCGGGGCGAGUGCUCGACAUGACUAAUGGCAGGAGAAACCACACGUGCCCAACUGGAACAAAACCCUGAGGUCCCCGACAGAGUCAACUCGCUCAUGCGGUGGCUGCAAUAUCUGAUUGAUUCCCCUGCCUGACCCAAGUCACGGGGAGGCAGCCCGAGGGUUAUCUCGGCUCAGCGAUGUGACCCGCUCUGGAGGGAUGUGACCAGGGUGACCUGGCUGAGAAUCUGCUUGCACGAAUAAUCCAACCCUACCAGCGUUGCUGAGCAGGUCACUGACAUCAUCUGAGAGACAGUAAGAAAACCCAGAACCGCUUUUUAUAUCCAAAGGAUAUAAAAAAAUGAAGAAGAGGUAAAAUUCAAUGGCCAGUAUGGGAUAUUCCUGAAUACAUUGAAAACGUAAUUUUAUUACUCUCACUUAUUACUUAUUUAUGAUAUCACCAGAACCACCUGGAAUCCACCCAAAAGUCCUAAAAGUACCAAAAGUGCUGAACACUCCAGUGUACUCUGACUGCACAAACCAGCCUCAGCCCAGACGAAUGGAAGGGUGAAAAAUAUGUUUGCUAUAGCACAGAGAGGAAGUAGCAAAGACAAGAACAAGUGGGAUAUGUCAGAGGAAAGUCGACAAAACAUCAUGUUGUCAAAUUUAUUAAUGUUCUUGGGAGGACUCUGGAUAACAGGGAGUCUUACUGGGUCUAUGUUUCUUAAAAAAUGUAUUGGGCAAGGUCCCUCUUCAAAGACCCCUCAUAAAACUUGUCAUGGAAAAACUGGGUUAAGCAUUCACAACCAGCUCAAGGUAGGGAUAAGGGUCUGGUUUUGCAGUACAAGAUUACUGAAGGUGUCUCCCCUUCUUCUCAUUGUCCUGUGCUACCCAUCAUUUUCAUAAUGGACACGAUGAUGUCCCCCCAAGAUGAUGAACCAACUCAGUCUAUUGUGGGAGAAAAUACUGAGAAUAGUGAAUCAGAUUGCACAUCUCUGCUUUGCUCAGGGUCAGGCAGCAUCCUGCCUUUUAUCAAAACCUUUCUUUUUUUUUUGGGGGGAGUCAUAUAUGCCUCAUGAACAGUGACAAAUGAAACAUCCCAUCUUACAGUUCGGCUUUUAUUUUCAUUUAAUUUACUUGUCAUCCUACAGGUUCUCUUUUAUUUCUGGUCCUUAUUUCUUGCAGAGCGUACCAGGUACAUCAGCAGGUAUGGUCUGCUCCUGUAGCUGACACUCUGCUGAUCAUCUUUGCCAUGAAGAAUCUCAUGUUAACAGCCUGUUUCUUGUGGUACAAAUAAAAAAAACCCUCCAGCCUUCCUUUGAGAAGUU
rnacentral:lncRNA from 1 species